GUACACACCGCCCGUCAAGCCACGAAAGCGGGGGGCAUCCGAAGUCGCCGAGCGAACCGCAAGGACGCAGGUGCCUAAGAUGAACUCCGUGAUUGGGACUAAGUCGUAACAAGGUAGCCGUAGGUGAACCUGCAGAAGGAUCA
rnacentral:rRNA from 1 species